rnacentral:rRNA from 1 species
AUUUUGGACAAUGGGCGCAAGCCUGAUCCAGCCAUGCCGCGUGAGUGAAGAAGGCCUUCGGGUUGUAAAGCUCUUGCGGUCGGAAAGAAAUCGCGCCUGCUAAUACCAUGCGCGGAUGACGGUACCGGUCUAAGAAGCACCGGCUAACUACGUGCCCGCAGCCGCGGUAAUACGGAGGGUGCGAGCGUUAAUCGGAAUUACUGGGCGUAAAGAGUGCGCAGGCGGUUGAUUGAGACAGGAGUGAAAUCCCCGGGCUUAACCUGGGAACUGCGCUUGUGACUAGUCAGCUAGAGUACGGCAGAGGGGGGUGGAAUUCCACGUGUAGCAGUGAAAUGCGUAGAGAUGUGGAGGAACACCGAUGGCGAAGGCAGCCCCCUGGGCCGAUACUGACGCUCAUGCACGAAAGCGUGGGUAGCAAACAGG